rnacentral:rRNA from 1 species
GUGGGGAAUCUUGCGCAAUGGGCGAAAGCCUGACGCAGCCAUGCCGCGUGAAUGAUGAAGGUCUUAGGAUUGUAAAAUUCUUUCACCGGGGACGAUAAUGACGGUACCCGGAGAAGAAGCUCCGGCUAACUUCGUGCCAGCAGCCGCGGUAAUACGAAGGGGGCUAGCGUUGCUCGGAAUUACUGGGCGUAAAGGGCGCGUAGGCGGACAUUUAAGUCAGGGGUGAAAUCCCGGGGCUCAACCUCGGAACUGCCUUUGAUACUGGGUGUCUUGAGUAUGAGAGAGGUGUGUGGAACUCCGAGUGUAGAGGUGAAAUUCGUAGAUAUUCGGAAGAACACCAGUGGCGAAGGCGACACACUGGCUCAUUACUGACGCUGAGGCGCGAAAGCGUGGGGAGCAAACAGGAUUAGAAACCCCUGUAGUCC